ACAGCUUUACUGUGUCGGGCCAGUGGACAUCAGGCAUCCACAAGGACAAAGAUAAACCUCCCAGCUUCUCUGUUGUCCUUGAGAGAUUGAGGCGUACCUUGACAGAUUACCAGAACAAGCUGGAAGAUGCAUCUAAUGAGCUAAACAGCAUGAAUGAUGUUAAGGAAAAGGCAUGUAAUGAACUUGAUUCUACGAAACAGAAGAUAGACUCUCACACUAAAA
rnacentral:lncRNA from 1 species